rnacentral:rRNA from 1 species
GACAAACGCUGGCGGCAUGCCUAACACAUGCAAGUCGAACGGACAGAACAGGGAAGCUUUUCGGAGUGGAACUGGAAAGUUAGUGGCGGAUGGGUGAGUAACGCGUGGACAACCUACCUUGUAAAGGGGAAUAACCUCGAGAAAUCGAAGCUAAUACCCCAUAAUAACCUUGCUUCGCAUGAAGUAAGGAGGAAAGGCGGCCUUAGCGCUGUCGAUACAAGUUGGGUCCGCGUCUGAUUAGCUAGUUGGUGAGGUAAAGGCUCACCAAGGCGACGAUCAGUAGCCGGCCUGAGAGGGUGAACGGCCACAGUGGGACUGAGACACGGCACAAACUCCGACGGGAGGCAGCAGUGGGGAAUCUUCCGCAAUGGGCGAAAGCCUGACGGAGCAAUGCCGCGUGAGUGAAGAAGGCCUUCGGGUUGUAAAACUCUGUCCUUAUCGAAGAGAGAGUGUUGUAGUAACUGACAAUACUAGGACGGUAGAUGAGGAGGAAGCCCCGGCUAACUAUGUG